rnacentral:lncRNA from 1 species
AAGAAGAGAGUAAUUUUGGAGGGAGAGAAAUAAAGAGAAAAAAUUUCCAUUUAAAAAAUGUAUUUUUAUAAUGAAUAUAAAUGAAUAUUUAUCAUUAAUAUUUUUUUAGUUGUAAAAGUAUUUAUAAAUACAAACAUUAAAUUUGAAGAAUUUAUCUAAACCAUAAAAAAAAACUUAUUUCACUUCUAUUUAUACUCGACAAAAACUGAGUAUCACGAUCCAAAAAU